AAAUCUUCUGCACAGCUGUACAUCUCUAACCUUCCUGUGCUUUCUCCUUUGCAGGGCCUGUACAUAUUCCUGGUCUAUGCAGUCUAUAACAGUGAGGAAUGCCAUCCAGAGGAUGAAGGACAAAAAGAAAGCACUCUCAUUCACAAACUGCUCUCAUCCCAUCAACUACUUAUCAAGUCCAAGAAACACGACCUCCUGGGAGACAGGGAAACCAUCUGUAGCUGAGAGUGCCUUGUCAAGCCCUAUGCAGAAAGAUCCUCCAGUGAAGAACAUCACCAACAAAGGAAAUUUUGGAGCCAAAAUUCCCAUGGGGAUUUCAUCAAUUAUGUCACCUGAGAGACCGGCUGUAGAGCUGACAGCGUUCAAAUCCUCAGGUUUCUGAGAUGCUUCUGGGUGAUGGGCCCACGACACCAAGUCUCUUCCAGGAGCCAGGAGGAUGGCAGGUCAGAGGAGACAGCUUCCAUGUGGAGGGCUGUCCCAGCCCAGGCAGAGCUGUUAGCCCUGCGCUUCUUCCUAGCAGCAUGUGUGGACAAAACCAAGGCAGGACUGGGGCAGCUGAGGUCUCACAGGGCUUUAUCUGCUGCUCAAGGAUGCCCGUGGCAGCCGUGCCCAUGCUCCUGUGCCGAUGAAGACUGCUGGCUUCCCUGGCCCUGCUGCUGGCCCAUCACACCGCUCUGCUGGGGAAGGACUGGGGACAGGCUGCAUAAGCAGCACAUGCACUAAGGAAGACAGCAGCUGGCUUCACGUCUUUUCUAAACCAGCUGACUUCUAUAGCAUCUUCUGCUGUAUAGGACAAAAAUCCUCUUCCUGCUCCUCCUGGGGCUCCCACCCGGCUGGUGUGGUCCCUCGCUAGCUGGGGUUAUGUUUUCUCUCCCUCUGUUCUUAGCAUCUGACUAGUGUUUAGAG
rnacentral:lncRNA from 1 species